GACGAACGCUGGCGGCGUGCUUAACACAUGCAAGUCGAACGAUGAAGCUGGAGCUUGCUCCGGUGGAUUAGUGGCGAACGGGUGAGUAACACGUGAGCAAUCUGCCCUUGACUCUGGGAUAACUGCGGGAAACUGUAGCUAAUACCGGAUACUUUCACUGGAAGGCAUCUUCUGGUGAAGAAAGAAUUUCGGUCAAGGAUGAGCUCGCGGCCUAUCAGCUUGUUGGUGAGGUAACGGCUCACCAAGGCGACGACGGGUAGCCGGCCUGAGAGGGUGACCGGCCACACUGGGACUGAGAAACGGCCCAGACUCCUACGGGAGGCAGCAGUGGGGAAUAUUGCACAAUGGGCGCAAGCCUGAUGCAGCAACGCCGCGUGAGGGAUGAAGGCCUUCGGGUUGUAAACCUCUUUUAGUAGGGAAGAAGCGAAAGUGACGGUACCUGCAGAAAAAGCACCGGCUAACUACGUGCCAGCCGCCGCAGUAA
rnacentral:rRNA from 1 species